rnacentral:rRNA from 1 species
GACGAACGCUGGCGGCGUGCCUAAUACAUGCAAGUAGAACGCUGAAGGAGGAGCUUGCUCUUCUGGAUGAGUUGCGAACGGGUGAGUAACGCGUAGGUAACCUGCCUGGUAGCGGGGGAUAACUAUUGGAAACGAUAGCUAAUACCGCAUAAGAGUAGAUGUUGCAUGACAUUUGCUUAAAAGGUGCAAUUGCAUCACUACCAGAUGGACCUGCGUUGUAUUAGCUAGUUGGUGGGGUAACGGCUCACCAAGGCGACGAUACAUAGCCGACCUGAGAUGGUGAUAGGCCACAAUGGGACUGUGACACGGCCCAGACGCCUACGGAAGGCAGCAGUAGGUGAUCUUUGGCAAUGGACGGAAGUCUGACCGGGCAACGCCGCGGGAGGGAAGAAGGUUUUCGGAUCGUAAAGCUCGGUUGUAAGAGAAGAACGAGUGUGAGAGUGGAAAGUUCACACUGUGACGGUAUCUUACCAGAAAGGGACGGCUAACUACGUG